AGAACGAACGCUGGCGGCAUGCCUAACACAUGCAAGUCGAACGGGACCUUCGGGUCUAGUGGCGCACGGGUGCGUAACGCGUGGGGAUCUGCCCUUAGGUACGGAAUAACUCAGGGAAACUUGAGCUAAUACCGUAUAAUGACUUCGGUCCAAAGA
rnacentral:rRNA from 1 species